GUUUCCUUGGCGAAGUGGUGGGGGAUUCCUGCUGUCGACGGCAUCUCGGCGGUUUCCUUGGCGAAGUGGUGGGGGAUUCCUGCUGUCGACGGCAUCUCGGCGGUGAAGUGUCGAUCUGCAGUUUCGAGCUUUGAGAUGCCUCGUGUUGGUAAAAGAAAAAAGGCUGCCAAGGCUGUUGUUAUUUCCUAUGAUGAAUCUCAUUAUGAUGAUUCUGAAUCUUCUGAGAAUUUUUUUGAUGGUGUUUCUAAGUAUACUGAUUCUUCUUCUGAUGAUAACAUGGAAAAGCUUUUGUUGAAAAUAUUCAAGAAACAUAUUGCUAAAAAAAUGAAAAAGAAGUUUAUCAGUAGUUCAAGUGAUGUUUUUCGGAAGCAUAAGGCUAAGAAAGCGAAAGGAGUUGUUAAGAGUGAUGGUUCAUUUUCAAGGUUUUCUACCAAGUAUUUUCGUCGGGUUGUUUCAUCGUUGUCUCCACAUCAGAUGUUUGUUAUUGAAAAAUAUGGUUUCAAGAAUCUUCUGUUGUUUGAUAGCGGUGGUGUUCCCAAAAAAAUUGCUGCUUGGAUUUCUAGUAAGGUUGAUCUAAAAACAUCUGAAAUCAUCUUGAAAGAUAGAGUGAUUCCUAUUACAGUUGAGUCUUUUAGAGAUAUCCUUGGACUCCCUUUUGGUGGCUUAAGUUUUGGGAAAGGUUAUGAUGAAGGAAAGAAUUUCAUCCUUUCAAAGUUUGGAAUCAGUUCUCUGCCUUCUUUGUCUGAUGAUGAAGUGAUAAUAUCAUUUUUGAUUGUUGCGUUGGCUUGUUUCAUCUGCCCAAACUCUUCAUUGUAUCCUAGUGUGAAGUACUUGACAAUUUUUGAAGAUUUGAAUAUUUUGUCAUCUUAUGAUUGGUGCAAGUUUGUUUAUGACUGGUGCAUGAAUCGCAUCAAGAAAUUCCAAAAGUCAAAGAACUUGGGUGGUUGUUUGUACUAUUGGGCUGUUUCGUAUCUUGAUACUGUUGAUUUUGGUGAAAGAAAUGUGCCAAUUGGUUUUCCUCGAAUGUCUGUUUGGAAAGAAGGAAUGAUAAAGAGGUAUUCUGACUUUGAGAAGAUAGAUGAUGAUACUUUUGGACUGAGGCCACCAAGAGUUAUUUGUUCUACAUCUAACUCACAUCUGCACUUGGAGAAGCACUACCUAAUUAUGCAGCUGCUCAAUUAUGUUAUUGGAGAAGCAUUACCUAAUUAUCUCAAGGACAUGAUUUGUACGAUGCUAAAAGAUCAUUGUCAGUCUAUUCAAGUUCACAAUAGCCAAUCUUUGCAAGAUUUUGUGAUUACUGCUAUGGAGUCUGAUCAUGCUGAAGUCCAUAAUAGUACUGAUCAUAUUGAUGUUGGAGAUGUUCACGUGCUUGAUGCUAAUGCACAUAAGCAGUUUGCUUCCGGAGCUGUUCAGAAUGAACAACAAACUUCUCCUUGUUGUAAUCAUGAUGUUGACAGCUAUGUUCCUUUGGAGAAUGACUUACCAGAUAAUAUUCCUGUUGCUGGUAAUUUUGAUAAUGCUGGUGAUUUCAAUUGUGCUUCUGGUUAUCUUCCUUCAAUGAAUACUGGAAAUGCUUCGACUUCUGUUGUUGAUGAUGGCAUUGCUGAGAGCUUUGGUGAUGGUCAAGCAUUAGUUACACCUGAUGUUGGUUAUGCUAAAAACUUUAAGAACUCUUCAGAUGAAAGAUUUAGUGCUGUGAAGCAUGUUGCAAUUAAAUUUAAGUCUAGGUUGCCCCAAUUCAAUGGAUCUGAAAAUGUGGAUCGUACUGUUGGUAUGUUCAAGCCUUCAUACAAGAAUUUAUUUCCUCAAGAUAAUGCUGGUAUUUCAUUUCACUCUGUUGAAGACACUCCAGAAGAGUUAAUUCAAAUCAAACAUAACCGUGAGGGAACUGCUAGGACUCCUAACAGUGGAAUCAUCAAAAAGAGGGUGUUUGAAGACUUAGUAAACUCUCCUGAUUUAAUCAUUGUUGGUGAAUCUAAAUUUCAUGAUCGUUGCAAUAAUAUGACUGCUCAAAGUGAUCUGAUUUAUAAUGCAAGCAUUCUGCCUACUAGUACUGCUCAUCAUGCGAGUUCGUCAGGUGGAAAAAUUCCCCCACAUGGCCCUAGAAGAGUUCUUGCUCCUGCAAAGUACACUAGUGAUCCAUUUGUUCAAUUGCAUCGCCAUUUUCCAAUUUCUGAUGUUGAAAAUCGAUACUACAUUGUUGUUUGUCGUCUUGCAGAUAGUUCGAAAUGGCACAGUUAUGAUGCAGUAAAUAUCGACAAUGUCAAAGCUAAUUUUUACACUUUUGGACAUUCUUUGAAGAAAAGUGGUCAUGAACAACUAGUGGUUGACCCAAGUUUUGCUGAUGCUGAAAAAGUUCAAAAAUCUUUUGAAGGUGCUGCAAAGGCUAGGAGAUUGGAUUUGUGUGAUAUGCUUUUUUUCCCUAUUCACUACCAACAGCAUUGGUUCUUAUUCAUUGUUGAUGUCAAAGAUAGAAUGUUUGUUUUUCUAGACUCUAAACAUGAGGAACAUUCUGAAUUUUAUGAAAACCUGAAGACUUUUGUAGUUGACAAUUUUCAGAACUUGUGGAAUAAGUUUGUUGGUAGUUCUUUGGAUUUUAGUGUUUUCAAGACUGUUUUUCCUCCUGUCCCUCGUCAAGAUUAUGAGUCUGAUUCUGGAGUAUUUGUUAUGAAGUUUAUGGAAAUUUGGUCUCCAAGGAUUCUUCUUCCUAAUGAGUUCUCAAAGCAAAACAUCAACAAUAUCCGAGUGAAAUAUGUUAACCAGAUCUUUUUUCAUGCAAAGAACAAAAUGCUUCAUACUGAAAUUGAAGAUGUUGUUCUUAAUUGGUUUAAUCCUGAGAAAUUUGCUCUUGUUUUGGCACCUUUUGAAGCAAAUUCAGCACUUCUUCUUGAGAGGAUAUUGAACCUGAGAGUUGAGCAAUCUGAAACAGGUAUGAUAUGA
rnacentral:lncRNA from 1 species